AACCGGGAGAUAGCUGGUUCUCCUCGAAAUCUAUUUAGGUAGAGCGUCGUACGAAUACCUCGGGGGGUAGAGCACUGGAUGGGUAAUGGGGCCCCACAGGCUUACUGAUCCUAACCAAACUCCGAAUACCCGAGAGUAAUAUACGGCAGACACACUGCGGGUGCUAACGCCCGUAGUGAAAAGGGAAACAACCCUGACCUCCAGCUAAGGCCCCUAAUUCAUGGCUAAGUGGGAAAGCAGGUGAGACGACCAAAACAACCAGGAGGUUGGCUUAGAAGCAGCCAUCCUUUAAAGAAAGCGUAACAGCUCACUGGUCAAGCGCUCCUGCGCGGAAAAUGUAACGGGGCUUAAGUGAUACACCGAAGCUGUGGAUUCAAUCUUAUGAUUGAGUGGUAGCGGAGCGUUCCGUAGGCCGAUGAAGGUGG
rnacentral:rRNA from 1 species